rnacentral:rRNA from 1 species
AUACGUAGGUCCCGAACGUUGCGCGAAAUUACUGGGCGUAAAGGGUCCGUAGGCGGUCUGGUAAGUGGAAGGUGAAAGCCUGGGGCUCAACUCCAGAAUUGCCUUCCAAACUGCCGGACUUGAGGCAGGGAGAGGUCGGCGGAAUUCCCGGUGCAGCGGUGAAAUGCGUAGAUAUCGGGAGGAACACCAGUGGCGAAGGCGGCCGACUGGAACUGUCCUGACGCUGAGGGACGAAAGCCAGGGGAGCGAACCGGAUUAGAAACCCUAGUAGUCC